CCGCGGAGUCGUCGUCCCCUCGUCCCCUGGGGGCCCCUCGCUCCGGGUCCGCCCCGCCCCGCCCGCCGGGACCGCUGCUGGAGCCGCCCUCGCGCCGAGGCCGCGUGUGUCGGGUUCAAGGGUCGUGAACUUCUAGGACCUGCGACACCGCCCGCGCGGCCUCGGGGGAGCUCUGACCCCGCGCCAGCCCCGCCCCGAGCCGCGAUCCCGCGAUCCGAGCCCAGGCCACGGGCCUCGCCGACACCGGGCCGCUGCGGCCGGGCUGGCGGAGAAGAAGGGAGAGGGAAAGAGAAACAUCCAUGAGAGAGAAACAUUGAUCACAUGCUUCCUGCACGCCCCCUACUGGGGAUGUGCCUGCGACCAAGAAAGGAAAAAAGGGUAGCAGUUCCCACACGACUUGACUGGAGCCUCCUACUUGUCCAGCGGCGGGUCAGGUGAAGGCUGGCCCUGGUACCCGUGUGCAGCCUGUGUGUUUGGAGUUGUUAGGAUUCCUCCGCUGUGAGUGAGGUCCUGGGUUCCGCACGCAGCCGCACCGUGGUCUUCUGCCUUGUAAGAGG